AGCUUUCUUAGCCCGCUUCGGGUUGACCGCGACGGUGUUCCAAGUUUGUCGUAGUUUAUGCUCGGACAAGAAGCAGAGCCUAGACUGUUUCUGGCAUCCCCAGGUUACCGCUGUUCCGUUUGGUGUUGGGAACUUGAUGCCAAGGUGAUAAGUCGACGGUACCGCUUUCAUGGCAUUGAUCCAAGGAGUUCCCAUGAUGACAUUUUAGAUGGCCGGGUUAUCGACUACCGCGAAGUCGACGAUUUUUUUCACCUCUUUACCAUCACUGGGAGUUUGAUUGAUCCGAGGGUCAUUGACGUUGCAC
rnacentral:lncRNA from 1 species